rnacentral:lncRNA from 1 species
GACGCUGAAAGAUAAAGAAAUACUGCGCUAGAGCAACCUGCAAAAAAGUUCAGACCAAAGGAUUGUGCUCCAAUGAGGAUCCUCCAAUACUUAAGUCAGAACAUGCAAACAGAGAAGCAAAGUUUUGAGCUCAAUAAGAAUGGAUUACUUAUCUGGAUGCUUGGAAUUUGAGUAUUUAUAGAGGAGAUGGCUGUGUAACCAUUUUUGGAAUACAGACUGGCCGAAUCUGGUAUGGUUAUUUGGUUGCAAUUCUCUGAAUCAGGUGGUUAUACUGACAUGAUUCUCUAGAUCAGGUGGUUACUCCC